rnacentral:lncRNA from 1 species
CAUUUCUCUAUAUUAAUAGGGAGUACAAUUCUUGUUUUCUUCUUACCGUUUUGAUGUAUUUGAGAUAGGAUUAAGGAGUUGAUUGUGAGAGAAAGGUGAUGAAAAAAGUGUUAGUGCUGUUUUUAUCUUUAGGCCAUUUAAAUUCUCUUCUUUCAUUAAUUUUUGCAGGUUUACUGAGGGAUUGUUAACUCCUUUCAUUUCUAAAUAUGGUUGGUAGAUGCUAUGGUCUGAAUGUUGGUGUCCCCUUAAAAUUUAUAUAUUGGAACCUAAUACUCAAUGUGAUAGUAUUAGGAGGAGGAGCCUUUAGGGGGGUGAUUAAGCCAUGAGGGCUCUGCUCUCAUGAAUGGGAUUAGUGCCCAUAUAAAAUAAGUUGAAGGGAGCUGGCUUGCCCUUUCCACCAUGCGUGAGGACACAGUAAUAAAGCAACAUCUCUGAAGCAGCGAGCAACCCCUCACCAGACACUGAACCUGCUGGCACCUUGAUCUUGGACUUUCCAGCUUCCAGAACUGUGAAAAUAAAUUUCUAUUGUUCGUAAGUUACCCAGUCUAAGCCUAUGCAGGAAGAACAAAGGUUAGAGGAAAAUGAAACACAUUAUUAUUGCUGGGAGCAAACAGAAGACACACUAUGAAGAAGAGAUGGAGUUUGAGCAUCCUGGCAAAUCCAGACUGAAGUUAAAUGACAUCCACCAAACAACUCCAGGCUGUGAAGAAACAGACAGCUCUCCUCCCACUUCUCAUCUUCCUUUUCUAGGCCAUUAAACUGUGCACUGAAAAAGAUGAAGAUACCUCCCCAGGCUUUGGAAUUAUCAAAAUAACUUUGGAAUUCUUGAUAUUGAUUAAUAUCAAUACUAUUCCUAUUCUAUUCAAGUCAACUAAGACAAUGUUUUCAAAUUUUAGAUUAUGAUUCAUUAGUUGAUAACAAAAUCAAUUUAAUUGGCUUUAAAAGAGACAUAAAAUAGAAAAGAAAAUAUAAAAGCAUGCAUCACAUGCAGUAAGGACGAGUCUAUGUAUGUAAACAUUUUGUUUCAAAUAUAUAUGUGUGUUUGUUUAUAAGAUGUACAUAUUGCGAUAGUUUAAUGUUUCUUAUUGUGAGUUAUAGUCAACAAAGUGUUCAAAAAUUAUUUAAUUAAAAUGUAAGCUCCCCAAAGGUAGAGUUUUUGCCUUGUCCACCAUUGUUCAUCCAGCACCUAAAACACAUACAUAAUAAAUAUUAGCUGAAUAAAUAUAUGGCCUGGGGAAAGUCAAUGAAUCUGUUUUCUGAUCUGUAGAAGAAUAAAGUCUACCUUAUAGGUUUGUCAUUGGAACUAAUAAAAAUGAG